rnacentral:rRNA from 1 species
GGGGAAUAUUGCGCAAUGGACGAAAGUCUGACGCAGCAACGCCGCGUGGGUGAUGAAGGCCUUCGGGUUGUAAAGCCCUGUCGACAGGGAAAAAUGUCCAGUAUGCUAAUAUCAUGCUGGAGUGAUGGUACCUGUAAAGGAAGCACCGGCUAACUCCGUGCCAGCAGCCGCGGUAAAACGGAGGGUGCAAGCGUUGUUCGGAAUUACUGGGCGUAAAGCGCGUGCAGGUGGCUAUUUAAGUCUCGUGUGAAAUCCCUCGGCUUAACCGAGGAACUGCGCGAGAUACUGGAUGGCUUGAAUACGGGAGAAGAGGGCGGAAUUCCCAGUGUAGAGGUGAAAUUCGUAGAUAUUGGGAGGAACACCGGCGGCGAAAGCGGCUCUCUAGACCGAUAUUGACGCUCAUACGCGAGAGCGUGGGUAGCAAAC